UACGUAGGAGUGCAAGCGUUGUCCGGAAUUAUUGGGCGUAAAGGGUACGUAGGCGGAUAGUAAAGGUCAAGCGUGAAAGGUGUCGGCUUAACCGACAGACUGCGUUUGAAACUGAUUAUCUUGAGUGUAACGGAGGAGAGUGGAAUUCCUAAGUGUAGUGGUGAAAUACGUAGAUAUUAGGAAGAACACCAGUUGGCGAAGGCGACUCUCUGGGUUAACACUGACGCUGAGGUACGAAAGGCUGGGGGAGCGAACGGGAUUUAGAUACCCCCGUAGU
rnacentral:rRNA from 1 species